UCACUAAUGACUCCGUCCUAAAAUUUUUGUCUUAUAUUUGUCUAGAUACUGAUGUAUCUGGUGCUAAAACAUGACUUGAUAUAUCCGUAUUUAGACAAAUUUAAGACAAGAAUUUUGGAACGAAGGGAGUACUAA
rfam:Triticum aestivum genome assembly, contig: Triticum_aestivum_CS42_TGACv1_scaffold_621583_7DS